ACUCAAAUGAAUUGACGGGGGCCCGCACAAGCGGUGGAGCAUGUGGUUUAAUUCGACGCAACGCGCAGAACCUUACCCAGACUUGACAUCCUUGGAACCCUGUAGAGAUAUGGGGGUGCUCGCAAGAGAGCCAGGAGACAGGUGCUGCAUGGCUGUCGUCAGCUCGUGUCGUGAGAUGUUGGGUUAAGUCCCGCAACGAGCGCAACCCUCGCCUUCAGUUGCCAGCAUUCAGUUGGGCACUCUGGAGGGACUGCCGGUGUCAAGCCGGAGGAAGGUGGGGAUGACGUCAAGUCCUCAUGGCCUUUAUGUCUGGGGCUACACACGUGCUACAAUGGUCGGUACAGAGGGCAGCGAAGGCGCGAGCCGGAGCCAAUCCCAGAAAACCGGCCCCAGUUCAGAUCGAAGUCUGCAACUCGACUUCGUGAAGUCGGAAUCGCUAGUAAUCGCGGAUCAGAACGCCGCGGUGAAUACGUUCCCGGGCCUUGCACACACCGCCCGU
rnacentral:rRNA from 1 species